rnacentral:rRNA from 1 species
GCCAGACUCCUACGGGAGGCAGCAGUGGGGAAUAUUGCACAAUGGGGGGAACCCUGAUGCAGCGACGCCGCGUGAGUGAAGAAGUAUCUCGGUACGUAAAGCUCUAUCAGCAGGGAAGAAAAUGACGGUACCUGACUAAGAAGCCCCGGCUAACUACGUGCCAGCAGCCGCGGCAAUACGUAGGGGGCAAGCGUUAUCCGGAUUUACUGGGUGUAAAGGGAGCGUAGACGGCACUGCAAGUCCGGAGUGAAAGCCCGAGGCUUAACCAUGGGACUGCUCUGGAAACUGUGGAGCUUGAGUGCGGGAGGGGCAGGCGGAAUUCCUAGUGUAGCGGUGAAAUGCGUAGAUAUUAGGAGGAACACCAGUGGCGAAGGCGGCUUACUGGACUGUAACUGACGUUGAGGCUCGAAAGCGUGGGGAGCAAACAGGAUUAGAUACCCCCGUA